UACGAAGGGAGCGAGCGUUGUUCGGAAUCACUGGGCUUAAAGCGUACGUAGGCGGAUUUACAAGUCAGGAGUGAAAUCCCAGGGCUUAACCUUGGAAUUGCUUUUGAAACUGUGAGUCUGGAAUCCGGUAGAGGUUGGCGGAACUCCGAGUGUAGAGGUGAAAUUCGCAGAUAUUCGGAAGAACACCAGUGGCGAAGGCGGCCAACUGGACCGGUAUUGACGCUGAGGUACGAAAGCGUGGGUAGCAAACAGG
rnacentral:rRNA from 1 species